GUGUUCGUGGUGUGGUAGUCAACACGCUCGACGCAUAAUCGAGAGGUCCGUGGUUCGAGUCCCGGCGAACAUA
rnacentral:tRNA from 1 species